GACGAACGCUGGCGGCGUGCUUAACACAUGCAAGUCGAACGGAAAGGCCCUGCUUUUGUGGGGUGCUCGAGUGGCGAACGGGUGAGUAACACGUGAGUAACCUGCCCUUGACUUUGGGAUAACUUCAGGAAACUGGGGCUAAUACCGGAUAGGAGCUCCUGCUGCAUGGUGGGGGUUGGAAAGUUUCGGCGGUUGGGGAUGGACUCGCGGCUUAUCAGCUUGUUGGUGGGGUAGUGGCUUACCAAGUCUUUGACGGGUAGCCGGCCUGGGAGGGUGACCGGCCACAUUGGGACUGAGAUACGGCCCAGACUCCUACGGGAGGCAGCAGUGGGGAAUAUUGCACAAUGGGCGGAAGCCUGAUGCAGCAACGCCGCGUGCGGGAUGACGGCCUUCGGGUUGUAAACCGCUUUCGCCUGUGACGAAGCGUGAGUGACGGUAAUGGGUAAAGAAGCACCGGCUAACUACGUG
rnacentral:rRNA from 1 species